UGAGUACGAGAUGCUACGGCAUCGAAGCAGUCUAUGUCAUACUUCCAAGAAAAGCUUGCACUGUCAGAAACAGAUAAUGCCUGUACCAUAACCGACACAGGUGGGUAGGUAGAGUAUACUAAGGGGCGCGAGAUAACUCUCUCUAAGGAACUCGGCAAAAUGACUCCGUAACUUCGGGAGAAGGAGUGCCUUAUUUUUAAGGUUGCAAUAACAAGAUCCAAGCAACUGUUUACCAAAAACACAGGUCUCCGCUAAGUCGUAAGACGAUGUAUGGGGGCUGACGCCUGCCCAGUGCCAGAAGGUUAAAGAAGUCGGUUAGCAUUCGCGAAGCUGGUAACUGAAGCCCUGGUGAACGGCGGCCGUAACUAUAACGGUCCUAAGGUAGCGAAAUUCCUUUCGGGUAAGUUCCGACCCGCACGAAAGGCGUAAUGAUUUGGAUACUGUCUCGGAGAGGGGCUCGGUGAAAUAGACUUGUCUGUGAAGAUGCGGACUACCUGCACCUGGACAGAAAGACCCUAUGAAGCUUUACUGUAACUUGAAAUUGAAAUUGGACUUUAUUUGCGCAGUAUAGGUGGGAGGCGUUGAAAAUAUUCUUGCGGGAAUAUUGGAGCCAUCAGUGAGAUACCACUCUUGUAAUGUUAGAUUUCUAACUUUAUAUCAUUAUCUGGUUAAAGAACAGUUUCAGGCGGGCAGUUUGACUGGGGCGGUCGCCUCCCAAAUGGUAACGGAGGCGCACAAAGGUUUCCUCUGAACGGGUAGAAAUCGUAUCUAGAGUGUAAAGGCAUAAGGAAGCUUGACUGUGAGACCUACAAGUCGAGCAGGGACGAAAGUCGGUCUUAGUGAUCUGACGGUGCUGAGUGGAAAGGCCGUCACUCAACGGAUAAAAGUUACUCUAAGGAUAACAGGCUGAUCUCCCCCAAGAGUUCACAUCGACGGGGAGGUUUGGCACCUCGAUGUCGGCUCAUCGCAUCCUGGGGCGGUAGUACGUCCCAAGGGUUGGGCUGUUCGCCCAUGAAAGCGGUACGCGAGCUGGGUUCAGAACGUCGUGAGACAGUUCGGUCCAUAUCCGGUGUAGGCGUUAGAAUAUUGAGAGGAGCCUUCUUUAGUACGAGAGGACCGAGAAGGACAUACCUCUGGUGUACCAGUUAUCGUGCCAACGGUAAACGCUGGGUAGCUAUGUAUGGAGUGGAUAACCGCUGAAAGCAUCUAAGUGGGAAGCCCACCUCAAGAUAAGUAUUCUCAU
rnacentral:rRNA from 1 species